rnacentral:misc_RNA from 1 species
GAUGAAGAACGUAGCGAAAUGCGAUAAGUAAUGUGAAUUGCAGAAUUCAGUGAAUCAUCGAGUCUUUGAACGCAAGUUGCGCCCGAAGCCAUUAGGCCGAGGGCACGCCUGCCUGGGCGUCACACGUCGUUGCCCCCCCAUCUACUCCUUCGGGAUUGCGAGGGGCGGAUGAUGGCCUCCCGUGCGCCUCGUCGCGCGGUUGGCAUAAAUGCCAAGUCCUCGGCGACGCACGCCACGACAAUCGGUGGUUGCGAAACCUCGGUUGCCCGUCGUGUGCGGUCGUCGCGCAUCGAGGGCUCGAAAAAAUUGCCGGGCUCCGGCUCGGCUUUCAACGCGACCCCAGGUCAGGCGGGGUUACCCGCUGAAUUUAAGCAUAUCAAUAAGCGGAGGA